rnacentral:rRNA from 1 species
UACGGAGGGUGCAAGCGUUAUCCGGAUUCACUGGGUUUAAAGGGUGCGUAGGCGGCUUGAUAAGUCAUUGGUGAAAGCUCGCGGCUCAACCGCGAAACUGCCAAUGAAACUGCCAAGCUUGAAUCUGGUUGAAGUGGGCGGAAUACAACAUGUAGCGGUGAAAUGCUUAGAUAUGUUGUAGAACACCGAUUGCGAAGGCAGCUCACUAAGCCAACAUUGACGCUGAGGCACGGAAAGCGUGGGAUAGCCGAACGAGGGC